GGGUGUUCCUUGCAAUUGGUAAUGAUUUCAAAGACAUAGCACAUCCCUUCUGGGAUUUCCUUUCCUUUCUUUGAGCACUAAAGGAGGAAUCUCACCCUGGGUUUGGCUACAGACACAAAAGGCAGAAGCCUUUCCGUGCAGGAAAGGAGGACUCUGGCUCUGGGUUUAGCUACAGGGAGCAAAAGGAGAAGCCUUUCCGUGCAGGAAGGAGGGAGAGGGAGGAGACCAACAAGGCCCUGGAAUCCGAAAUAGAAAAGGCCUCCCAGGACCUCAACAAUAAAAUGAAAACUCAGCAUGAAGAUUUCAAAAAAUUACAGGAGAUCACAGCGGAGCUUAAGAA